rnacentral:rRNA from 1 species
CCUACGGGAGGCAGCAGUGGGGAAUAUUGCACAAUGGGGGAAACCCUGAUGCAGCGACGCCGCGUGAGUGAAGAAGUAUUUCGGUAUGUAAAGCUCUAUCAGCAGGGAAGAAAAUGACGGUACCUGAUUCAGACGCCCCGGCGAACUAGUGGCCCGCAGCCGCGGUAAUACGUAGGGGGCAAGCGUUAUCCGGAUUUACUGGGUGUAAAGGGAGCGUAGACGGCAGCACAAGUCUGGAGUGAAAUGCCGGGGCUUAACCCCGGAACUGCUUUGGAAACUGUGCAGCUAGAGUGCAGGAGAGGUAAGUGGAAUUCCUAGUGUAGCGGUGAAAUGCGUAGAUAUUAGGAGGAACACCAGUGGCGAAGGCGGCUUACUGGACUGUAACUGACGUUGAGGCUCGAAAGCGUGGGGAGCAAACAGGAUUAGAUACCCUAGUAGUA